rnacentral:rRNA from 1 species
UACGUAGGGUGCGAGCGUUAAUCGGAAUACUGGGCGUAAAGCGUGCGCAGGCGGUUAUGCAAGACAGAUGUGAAAUCCCCGGGCUCAACCUGGGAACUGCAUUUGUGACUGCAUGGCUGGAGUGCGGCAGAGGGGGAUGGAAUUCCGCGUGUAGCAGUGAAAUGCGUAGAUAUGCGGAGGAACACCGAUGGCGAAGGCAAUCCCCUGGGCCUGCACUGACGCUCAUGCACGAAAGCGUGGGGAGCAAACAGGAU